GAAACAGAAAUUGGUGACUUCCAGAAGCUUCUCGUCUGUCGUACCCUCAAGCUCAAGAAGCUGGGCUUUCCUUGCAAACAUCUGAUUGGAAGCAGGUUCCUGAUGGCUCCCUUGUAUGAAAGUUGAACUGACUUGAGUUUUCAAGCAAUUGUUUGUGGCUAGCGCUUAGUAAUAGCAGAUCUUUGUGGUUAUAUGGGUAAAAGAGGAAGUUAAUAUUGAAAUAUGCACACAAGUACAGGCUGGGAUUAUGGAGGCCUCGAGCUGAACUAAUCAAAUCGUGAUCG